UUCCUCUGGUGAACUCUUGUUAGUGCCACCUUCUUCACUGUGAUAAGAUAAAAGGAUUGGGAUUUGGGGAA